rnacentral:lncRNA from 1 species
CAAACAGCAGGGAUAUGCACAGGGAGGAUACCUCUGAAGUUAAUGAUCUUAUUGAGAUUGUGAUGAAUAAAUAACAUUGAAGCUAAAAUUCCAAAUCAAAGCAUCCUCAUCCUCAGUAAAAGUAAUAGUUGAGCCCAUUUGAACUACUUCUAACCACAUAUUCUUCAAUCUAUCAUCAACACAUCUUCUAAAGGUGCAUUUCAGAUUAUAACCAUCCCACAGAUCAUAAACUGUUUUAGACUUUUCCUGUACAAUGACAUAAAUCUCCCAAAACUGAAUGGCAAGGCUAGAAGUACCAAGCCAAUGAUCACUCUGUGAUGUUGCCUGAAGAUGACUGCCCUGUACUCCUAUGUACUAGCUAGAGAUCAUACCAAUAUAUUUUUUUUGAUAAGCAGCAUACCAAUAAUCUGUACGACAUAUCCAUUACUAGCAGAUCUGUGUUUCAUUGUAGGAGUAGAGUAGUAGACGACUAGAGAGGAGUCGAGGAACGAUCAACUAGACUAGCAGAGGACUAAGCAGACUGGUGUAGGGCUACAGGCAAGC